rnacentral:lncRNA from 1 species
CAAAUCAAACAUCCCCUUAUUCCACAAUUCAUCGUCUCUCUCUCUUAGAGACAAGCUAGGGCUAAACCCUAGCCGCCACCCUAUUCCUCCGCCUGAAACCCGGCGGCAUCGACGCUGCCGGUCACCAAACCAACACCCUAGGACCUUCUAACCACCCUGAACAUGAAUCCAUUAACCGUUUGCUUCGAAUCAUCCCCCAGCUUCUCGAAUCUUCAAUCGAAGAUUCGAUCAAACCAUGCACCAAACCCAAUCCAUCCCAAACUCACACAAUAUAUUCACCAGGCCUCCCUCACUUCUGAACCACCACUGGUUCCCUUCGAAUCACAUUGGAAUCGUUCGAAUUCCAAAUCGAACCGUAUAAAACCUAGACAAGAUCCGGACUGGAAUUUGUCCAAAAUAAAAAAAAUGGGGGCCUCAAUCAACUUUAGUCGAGUGUUCUCAGUCGAGAACACUUGAUUAAUAGUUCGUUUUUCCCCAAAAAGGCUCAAGCUAGAGUUUCAAGUCGAGUCCGUCUGGUUUCUGAGUUCUUGAGGUCCUUUCUUUUGUCUGUUCUAUUUUUGGGUAUAUUGUUAUUUGUUUAUAUUGUUGUAUUAAUUUCCUUAUUUUUGUCAGUUAAUUUCUUCUCCCCCUUUUACGGACCUUUUUCUUUGUUCCAAAUUUUAUGACUAGUUAUUAUAUGUUAUAAACUAUGUAGUCGAUCAAUUAAAUUUCAUCAAUGUCAUUGAUUGUAGUUUGUUUGCGCUCUUCGAGCUGUCCUUGUUAAGCUGUGUUUAUGUUUGUGUUCCCCGCUUCAGGGAAUUCAAUGUCAAAUAUACUUUCAAAAAUCCUGCAUCUUGUAUGUAUAUUUGAGUUAGAGUUGUGUUUUCCCGUUCCCUGCAUCUAUGCCAUCCCAUGUUCUUUAGUCUUUCAUGUGAUAAGCUCAUUCCUCGAUUCACACUGUUUUCAUUUUGCUUAUUGUCUCCCUGUUUGUUCUUUUCUCAAUAUGAUCAACUAAUUGUUUUGAUGCCAUUUUGAUCUUGAUCUUUUGCUUAUUGAAUCACUAGUUGAAUUUGGUCAGGAAGAUUGGUUAUAGUUGUUAAUUAGAAUUAGUUUUAGACAAUUUUCUUUAGGUUUGAACAGAUUGGUUUGAGGAAGUAAUAGUCAAGGGGUUUCAGGGGCAAUUUGGGAAUAAAACGAUUAGGCAAUUAGUUUAAUAUUAGCAAUCUGAAAGUAGGUAUUAAAGGCUAUUAAACUAAUAAGUAAGCGAGGAGCAAGACAUAAUGGUAUAGGGGGGCCACUAGGUAAUGAGUACUACACUAAUGGAUUAGUCAAAAGAGAGACAUUCUAAGUGGGAUUGAAUAGUUAAUAGACAACUAUUAGUGGAAGACUACUUUUGUCUUAAAAAGGACCGAUUUAAGAAUGAUUAACUACCUACUAAGGCCUAAAAAUUCGAAAAAAGAAAAGGUGAUUAAAAAUUAGAGAAUGGAUUAAAAGGGAGAACAUUUUCUUCAAGUAGGGAUCAGUUUUUAGAGAGACUUUUUAAAAAAAAUCUUGGAGAGUCAGAAUUAGAGAGUUAAAAAUUAACUGGUCUUUGAAGAAUUAGUGUUGGUUUUUUGUUGAAUUGAACUUCUGAGUUUCUUUCCUUGAGAGUCUGAAAGACAGAGUCAAAAUCGAUUGUCCUAUUGCAUUUCUGGUUCACUUUGUUUCUGCACGUUGAUUGCUGUUGGUAUUUUGGGCUUUCAUUUGGUUUGUUCCUUGAGUUUGGCUGGUUAAUUGUUAUUGUUUCAUUGGGGUAUUGCUGGAAUUCUGUUGGUUUUAUUAAAUAUUGUUACUGGGCUAUUCUGUUUCCGUUACUGUUGUUGUGUUGUUGCUACUGUUCGUGCUGAUCCUUUUCUUCCUUUUCCUUGUGUUCCCUUUCCAGGUACACAUUUCUGAGAUUAGUUCUGAUGUAACUUCAAACUGCAAAAAUGCUGAAAUAAAAGGCUUAACAGAUUGCCUAUUAAAGUGUGUUCAAUUAAUGUAUUAGAAUGUACAUUAGGAAAUAUUGCAUAUGUUUAUGCUCAUCUUAGAUAUCUAUUUACAUUGUACAACUAUACUGAAAAUUGGACUGUACCUAGAACUAUUCUAAGUAGUUUGAACUGUUUUCUAUAUGCCUAUGGGUACAUGAAUUGGUAGAUAGUCAUUAUUGGAAAUUAUUUUGAUUUAGUUUAAUUAGUGAAGUAUAAUUCCGAAUUCAUGCAAACUAGAAUAGAAAUGAGUCAAAGCUUGUGAAUUUUCAAUCAUGUUAGUA